ACGAACGCUGGCGGCGCGCCUCACACAUGCAAGUCGAACGGAGCUGAGAGAAGCUUGCUUUUCUUAGCUUAGUGGCGAACGGGUGAGUAACGCGUGAGUAACCUGCCCUGGAGUGGGGGACAACAGUUGGAAACGACUGCUAAUACCGCAUAAACCCACGAUCCGGCAUCGGAUUGAGGGAAAAAGAUUUAUUCGCCUCAGGAUGGACUCGCGUCCAAUUAGCUAGUUGGUGAGGUAACGGCCCACCAAGGCGACGAUUGGUAGCCGGACUGAGAGGUUGAACGGCCACAUUGGGACUGAGACACGGCCCAGACUCCUACGGGAGGCAGCAGUGGGGGAUAUUGCACAAUGGGGGAAACCCUGAUGCAGCGACGCCGCGUGGAGGAAGAAGGUUUUCGGAUUGUAAACUCCUGUCGUUAGGGACGAUAAUGACGGUACCUAACAAGAAAGCACCGGCUAACUACGUG
rnacentral:rRNA from 1 species